GCUGGGCAUUGUUGUGAAUGCCUGUAAUCCCAGCUACUUGGGAGGCUGAGGUAGAGAAUUUGCUUGAACCUGGGAGGCGGAGGUUGCAGUGAGUCAAGAUCGUGCCACUGCACUCCAGCCUGGGCAACAGAGCGAGACUCUGUCUCAAAAAAAAAAAAAAAGAAUUUUUUGGUAGAGAUGACAUUCAUUAUGUUGCCCAGGCUAGAGUGCAGUGGUGUAAUCACAGCUCACUGCAACCUCAAACUCCUGGACUCAAGUGAUCAUCCUGCCUCA
rnacentral:sRNA from 1 species